AGUGAACGCUGGCGGUAGGCCUAACACAUGCAAGUCGAACGGCAGCACAGGAGAGCUUGCUCUCUGGGUGGCGAGUGGCGGACGGGUGAGGAAUACAUCGGAAUCUACUCUGUCGUGGGGGAUAACGUAGGGAAACUUACGCUAAUACCGCAUACGACCUACGGGUGAAAGCAGGGGACCUUCGGGCCUUGCGCGAUAGAAUGAGCCGAUGUCGGAUUAGCUAGUUGGGGGGGUAAAGGCCCACCAAGGCGACGAUCCGUAGCUGGUCUGAGAGGAUGAUCAGCCACACUGGAACUGAGACACGGUCCAGACUCCUACGGGAGGCAGCAGUGGGGAAUAUUGGACAAUGGGCGCAAGCCUGAUCCAGACAUACCGCGUGGGUGAAGAAGGCCUUCGGGUUGUAAAGUCCUUUUGUUGGGAAAGAAAUCCAGCUGGCUAAUACCCGGUUGGGAUGACGGUACCCAAAGAAUAAGCACCGGCUAACUUCGUGCCAGCCGCCGCCGUAA
rnacentral:rRNA from 1 species